UCCUUCUAGCAGCGCCAUAACAGCUUGGAAGAUACUUAAUAUUCAUGACAUCCAGAGCUUUCAAAGCAUGACUACACAAUAUACCAACUCUUUCAAAUUGGCCACAGCUACAUAGAACUUUUUGCUGUUCAUCAACUAUAACUUUGCAUUCUUCUUCAUAAGAGCAUUCCGGGUCAAGAUUGGCAAUUGCAACAGUAUAUGCAUUGUCUUCCUCCGAUGGCUUGAUGUACGCUGAGAUGGAUCUUUCGUAUUCAUUCUGAAAAUCUUCAAAUAUGCUAGGUGUGUAAACUUUGCUUGCUUGUAUUACUGUAGGAGUUCUUAUUCUAACUCUAGGUAAUUUUUUCCUCGACUCAUAUUCCUCAUUUACCUCUUUAUCUCUCUUUCCUUGCACAACCCUCUCUACGUGCUUGAAAAAACGAAGAAUGUCAAGAUCAGACUUCAAAUGGUCUUUCAAGUCACUAUUCAAGCUCUCACUUAAUUGUGUGCUUCUCAUGCCUAUAGUUGAAAGCUUCUUCAAAGUCUUCCUCUUCCUCGUACUUGUACAUGCAAGCACUGAAAUCAGCAAGUACAUUUGGGCCAUCCUCGUCUUUUUUCUUAUGAGGAGAAGGAAGGCAAAAGGGAGAUCAUCUACAUUAAUCUCCUGUCAAGUAUUGGAAAUCCCAAGUAUUUCAUGAGCAAAGCACCUAUGGUACAACUUGCAUGUAAAGAUCUAACUACAUUCAUGUAUUUUAUCUUGAGAUUAUUCAAAACAAUAGAGAUCACUUCUGUUAGCAAAGCACCUAUGGUACAACUUGCAUGAGAAGGAUGGUAAAAGUGAGUUCAAAAGGGAGAUCAUCCACACCACUUGCAGAUCAGCGGGAGAAGAACAAUCAAUAGAGAGAUAGGGCAAAAGGGAGAUCUUUAUGCCACAUAAACUUCCAGAUCAGCGUGAGGAGAACAGAGAUAGGGCAAAAGGGGAUCUCUAUGCCGCCCAUAGAUCAACAUAUACCUUGGUCAAAGGAGGAUGAUCAAGGAGGACUUGGGAAGACCGGCGGGACGAAGGCAUGGAGAUCGCUGUUUGGCGCCAACGUGCGUUCUGUUUGGCGCCAAGCAGCCGUAGGAGAUAUUUCACCGGACAAAUUGGGGUUUUUGUUUUCAUUUUCUAAAAGAAUUAAGUGGGGAAACUAGAGCGGUCAGAUUGGAAUUGACGGUUGAUGUGGAUAUCUACAGUACCCGUGCAGUAGUAGUUCGACUGCAGAGGAGCCGAACCCGCGCGCGCUGGGUCCUCCAGGAGAAAGCCAACGACGCGGGCUAUGUGUUCGGUGCCAGAUCUAUAUCUUGUGCACGCCUUUGUUGUUUUUUCU